rnacentral:rRNA from 1 species
GGGGCCCGCACAAGCGGUGGAGCAAGUGGUUUAAUUCGAUGCAACGCGAAGAACCUUACGUACUCUUGACAUCCAGCGAAGCCUUUAGAGAUAGAGGCGUGCCUUCGGGAGCGCUGAGACAGGUGCUGCAUGGCUGUCGUCAGCUCGUGUUGUGAAAUGUUGGGUUAAGUCCCGCAACGAGCGCAACCCUUAUCCUUGUUUGCCAGCACGUAAUGGUGGGAACUCCAGGGAGACUGCCGGUGAUAAACCGGAGGAAGGUGGGGACGACGUCAAGUCAUCAUGGCCCUUACGAGUAGGGCUACACACGUGCUACAAUGGCAGAUACAGAGGGCAGCGAGACAGCGAUGUUUAGCGAAUCCCUUAAAGUUUGUCGUAGUCCGGAUUGGAGUCUGCAACUCGACUCCAUGAAGUCGGAAUCGCUAGUAAUCGUGGAUCAGAAUGCCACGGUGAAUACGUUCCCGGGCCUUGUACACACCGCCCGUCACACCAUGGGAGUGGGCUGCACCAGAAGUAGAUAGCUUAACCUUCGGGAGGGCGUUUACCACGGUGUGGUUCAUGAC